rnacentral:rRNA from 1 species
UACGUAGGGGGCGAGCGUUGUCCGGAGUUACUGGGCGUAAAGCGCACGCAGGCGGUCUGCUAAGUUUGGAGUGACAGUUGGUGGCUUAACUGCCAAAGUGCUUCGAAAACUGACAAACUUGAGGGCUUCAGAGGGACACGGAAUUCCGGGUGGAGUGGUGAAAUGCGUAGAGAUCCGGAGGAACACCAAAGGCGAAGGCGGCUACCUGGACCAGCACUGACACUGAGGCACGAAAGCGUGGGGAGCAAACAGG